GACGAACGCUAGCGGCGUGCUUAACACCUGCAAGUCGAACGAAGUGGCGAACGGGUGAGUAACGCGUAAUCAACCUGCCCUUCAGAGGGGGACAACAGUUGGAAACGACUGCUAAUACCGCAUACUUAAGGAGGGGAUCGCUUCUGAUUAGCUAGUUGGAGGGGUAACGGCCUACCAAGGCGAUGAUCAGUAGCCGGUCUGAGAGGAUGAACGGGCACAUUGGGACUGAGACACAGCCCAGACUCCUACGGGAGGCAGCAGUGGGGAAUCUUCCGCAAUGGACGAAAGUCUGACGGAGCAACGCGGCGUGAGUGAUGACGACCUUCGGGUUGUAAAGCUCUGUUAAUCGGGACGCGGUACCGGAAUAGAAAGCCACGGCUAACUACGUGCCAGCAGGCGCGGUAAUUC
rnacentral:rRNA from 1 species